UAGAGUUUGAUCCUGGCUCAGGAUGAACGCUGGCGGCGUGCUUAACACAUGCAAGUCGAACGGUGAAGCCCCGCUUGCGGGGUGGAUCAGUGGCGAACGGGUGAGUAACACGUGAGCAACCUGCCCCUGACUCUGGGAUAAGCGCUGGAAACGGCGUCUAAUACUGGAUACGAGACGUGAUCGCAUGGUCAACGUUUGGAAAGAUUUUUCGGUUGGGGAUGGGCUCGCGGCCUAUCAGCUUGUUGGUGAGGUAAUGGCUCACCAAGGCGUCGACGGGUAGCCGGCCUGAGAGGGUGACCGGCCACACUGGGACUGAGACACGGCCCAGACUCCUACGGGAGGCAGCAGUGGGGAAUAUUGCACAAUGGGCGCAAGCCUGAUGCAGCAACGCCGCGUGAGGGAUGACGGCCUUCGGGUUGUAAACCUCUUUUAGCAGGGAAGAAGCGAGAGUGACGGUACCUGCAGAAAAAGCACCGGCUAACUACGUGCCAGCAGCCGCGGUAAUACGUAGGGUGCAAGCGUUAUCCGGAAUUAUUGGGCGUAAAGAGCUCGUAGGCGGUUUGUCGCGUCUGCUGUGAAAUCUGGGGGCUCAACCCCCAGCCUGCAGUGGGUACGGGCAGACUAGAGUGCGGUAGGGGAGAUUGGAAUUCCUGGUGUAGCGGUGGAAUGCGCAGAUAUCAGGAGGAACACCGAUGGCGAAGGCAGAUCUCUGGGCCGUAACUGACGCUGAGGAGCGAAAGGGUGGGGAGCAAACAGGCUUAGAUACCCUGGUAGUCCACCCCGUAAACGUUGGGAACUAGUUGUGGGGUCCAUUCCACGGAUUCCGUGACGCAGCUAACGCAUUAAGUUCCCCGCCUGGGGAGUACGGCCGCAAGGCUAAAACUCAAAGGAAUUGACGGGGACCCGCACAAGCGGCGGAGCAUGCGGAUUAAUUCGAUGCAACGCGAAGAACCUUACCAAGGCUUGACAUAUACGAGAACGGGCCAGAAAUGGUCAACUCUUUGGACACUCGUAAACAGGUGGUGCAUGGUUGUCGUCAGCUCGUGUCGUGAGAUGUUGGGUUAAGUCCCGCAACGAGCGCAACCCUCGUUCUAUGUUGCCAGCACGUAAUGGUGGGAACUCAUGGGAUACUGCCGGGGUCAACUCGGAGGAAGGUGGGGAUGACGUCAAAUCAUCAUGCCCCUUAUGUCUUGGGCUUCACGCAUGCUACAAUGGCCGGUACAAUGGGCUGCAAUACCGUGAGGUGGAGCGAAUCCCAAAAAGCCGGUCCCAGUUCGGAUUGAGGUCUGCAACUCGACCUCAUGAAGUCGGAGUCGCUAGU
rnacentral:rRNA from 1 species